CUGCCAACAUUUUUUUUUUUUUUCUAGGGUCGGUAAUUAAAACAUAUAGCGCUUUUAAAAGCCGCUACAUCCGACCCGUCGAAAACUGUAAUUAGUAGCGCGACUUGGCACUAUAGGCGUCUCAUACGUUAUAAAUGUAUACCGUUACGUUUUAAUAAUAGUUAUUACCUAUAUAAUAUAUACAGUAUACUCAUUGGCAUGAUCAAUAUUACAUUUGUAUUCGCUGCCAGUAAGCAUACAUUUUUUAGAUUUUAUCGAGGCGAAUAAGUGCACCGGAUUUACUAUGAUACGUGUGUGGAGUGAAUAUGUGUGUUUUUUUUUCUGUUUGCAAAUAGCUUUUUUUUACCAUGUUCCACUAUCGUCGGGUUUAGAGGCGAUUUAUCGUAGACAAUUUUGUCCGGUAGGUACAUUGAGAAGGUUAGAUUUUUAGGUUAGGUUUAGAUUUUCCUUGUAGUUUUCUUAAUAAUUGUGUAAAACUAUUAAGUAAAAUGUGGAGAAAACCGAAACAUUUACGAAUUUUUUUAGUAUUUAAUUGGUUUUAUACACAUUAAAUUAUUUUGGUCCAGAAAAACCGCUCGAAAAUUGAAUUGAAGAUUAAUCAGAAGUUGUACACGUAGUGUUAAUAUGAAAGUUAAGCGAGUUUUUUCUUUUUUAUACGCGUUUAAAGUUCAAGUUUUUAUAAAGUUUUAAUAAAAAUAAGUUCACGGCAUUUCAAAACAUGUUUAUCGUCUUUCGUAAGCAAAGAUUUAUUGUUGCUCACAGAUGAAAUUAAAUGACAAGGAAACAAUUUUCUCAGUUUUUCCUCCUCGAAAUUUAUUUUCUCAGUUCUAUUUAAAAAAAAAAUCGAGAUAACUGCACUAUACAACCAAAUUAAAUUACUCUAUAUAAUCCAAUCUCUCCAAUUUCCCACCUACAACCGUGGCCUAUCCAUAAGGCAGUAUCUUGUAUUUUUAUUACAUUUAAAAGUUUAUUAUGAAAUAUACUGAAAAUUAUUAUUAUUACAAUAUAAAUGUAAAGUAAUAGUACUCAAAGAAAAUAUUUAAAACUACAAAUAUUUAUCAGCUUUUUGUAGUUGUAGACGUAAAAAGGAGUAACUAUAGGAUUUUUAAGUUACUUGGGCCGUUUGGCCGCCAAAAUAUCCAUUCCUAUAUUUUUGAAAACGUUUUCGUGCGGUGGCUGUGCACGCAUUUACAGGCGCUAAGUAUUCAUAGUAAUUUGA